CGCCCUUCGCCAGGAAGCCGUGCAGGAGGUACGCGUAGAGGGUGCCGGCGCCGAGUGCGGUGAACCAGGUGCGGCGG
rnacentral:tRNA from 1 species